AACAAUGUUGAAUCAUCUCCUUCAUCAAAGCUUGAUGGCGGUAAUGAUGGUGCCUCAUCACCGUAACAUUUUUUUAGCACUUGAAAUCCACAUAAACCCAAGUUUCCUUCAAAUGAGCUUGCAUCAAAGGUGUUGAAUUGCUCUCCACUUGGUAUGAGCCCCUCGAGUUGGUUAUGUGAAAGGUUUAGAAUUGCAAGAAAUGUUAGACCCUCCAGCUGCGUUGGAAUCCUUUCGGUAAGCAAAUUUGAAGAUAGAUCUAAUGAUUCCAAAUUGAUCAAAUUUCCUAGUGAUGAUUGGAUAUGACCUGUAAGGGAAUUAUGAGAAAGGUUGAGCUGUUGGAGUGCUUUAAGCUUUCCCAUCACUUUUGGAAUCUUUCCGGUGAAAUUGUUAUUUGACAAAUCAAGUACUCUGAUAGUACUUUGGAUCUUCGUAAACUCAAUUUCUACACCUUUCCAUGUCAUUUCUAUGGAAUAGACAUAGCUAGUGUAAUUUGUUGCCCCCAUGUAAAUCAUGUUUUGAUCCGAGACCAUCAUUGCUUCAAGACUAUUGAAAUACCCAGUUGGCAAUGGCCCAUUAAAAUUGUUGUCGGAGAUGUCAAAAAUCCAUAAUUUAGAGAAGGAAUUAUAUGCAGUCGGACCCUUCACAAAACCUUGAAGUGUAUUGGAUUUUAGAACAAGAAUUUGGAGCUUUGGAAGCGUUUCUAGAAAGUAGGGAAAUGUAUCUUCAAUCUUAUUGUUGCCAAGAUCAAGAACUUGCAACAUUGUGCAGUUGAUGAUAGACGGUGGUAUUUUCCCUUCUAAUUCAUUUCCAUUGAGGUUGAGAUAUUCCAAGCUAUUAUCCUUUGAAAAUGUUAAAGGGAUAGUGCCUCGAAGAUUGUUCAUGUCUAGAUGCAAGACUGAAAGCAUAUUGUUGAAGUUCCCCAAACAUAGUGGCAUAGAACCCCUCAAGCUAUUGUUGGACAAGUCAAGAACCCGAAGGAAUCUUAGCUUGCAAAUAGAAGAAGAAAUCUCACCUGUCAAUUUACUAUUGGAUGCAAGAAUAAGGAAUUCCAAGUUCUCUUGUUUUAAAAUCGAACUUGGGAUUGGACCAUGCAAGUGGUUAUUGCUCAAAUCAAGGUAAGUUAAUGAAUUGUGUUGGAGUUCACUUAUAUUGCCUAUGAGAUUAUUGUUAUGAAGGUCAAGAUAUUGUAAAGAAUGAAAAGCAAAUAAAAAGGAUGGUAUUGUUCCAUUGAACAAGUUAUUGGAUAAAUCUAGACUCUCUAGAUUUGAAAGGGUAUUUAAUUGAGAAUGGAUAGUGCCUACUAGUUGAUUAUUUGAUAAAUAUAAAUUUGAAAGAUUAACUAGACUACCUAAAAAAUCUGGAACUUGACCCAUAAAUUUAUUAGAAUCAAGAUAUAAGAAACGAAGGUGUACAAGGUUUCCAAAUGAGAAUGGGAUGUGACCACUCAAAUUGUUACUUGAAAAGUCUAAAUAAGUGAGGUUUAUGAGAUUACGGAGUAUAGCUAUAUCUGACCUUAUAAUGUUACAAUUAUGAAGAGACAUAUAUUCUAAUGACUUUAUAUUACUGAAUAAGUCGUUUUCUAAAUAAACUGAAAUUCUUGUAAUAGAAAGAUCCAAUCGAGAGAGGACAUUACUCAAAUUGGACGAAGGAAAAGAGCCAGUGAGGACCUUGUUGUAUGACAGAUCCAGUGAUUCAAGGUUUGGGAGGAGAAAGAUGUUCCCCGGGAAUUUCCCUUGCAAUCCACAAUCCUAAAGGGAAAGAGAUGACAAAGAAGAGGACAGAUUCGUCAAGGAAUUAGGUGCAACCAAAGACAAAUUUAAAUAACCCAAAGUGAGAUCUCUUAGCUUGGUUAGGUUUUGAACAAGCUUGUCAAAAGAAAUUGGUUCUAUACUGAGAUGGAUGUUUUCAGAGAGAUCCAAGCAUUGGAGGUGCUUAAAACUUCCCAUUGAGGAUGGGAGUUUUCCUUGCAAUCGACAGCCAGAGAGUUUGAGUGAUGACAGAGAAGAGGAAAGAUUCAUCAAGGAACUGGGUACAACCAGUGACAUGUUUACCCAGUUUAGAUGGAGUUCUCUAAGCUUGGUUAGGUUUUGAACAAGCUUGUCAAAACAAAUUGGUUCUAGACUUAGAUUGUAUUGUCUAGAGAGAUCAAGUGAAACCAAUUUGGAGAGAUGAGAGAUUUCCGAUGGAACUUGACCUGUAAAGACUGAGUAAUUUAGGUUAAGAUGUGUUAGACUAGAGAACUGGCCAAAUUGAGAAGAAAUAUGGGAGAGGUUGAAAUGAUUGUCAGAGAGGUCGAGCUUUUGAAGAUGAUGCAGGGAGAAGAGGGUGCUAUUGGAAUGGAUGGUGCCGUAAAGCAUGCUGCAAGAGAGGUCCAGUCCAGUGACACGCCCGGUUUUCAGGUCACAAGUGAUCCCAUCCCACAAACAGCAGUCUGUACCCUCUUUCCACGACUCUGUCUUGGGAUGCUGGCAAAGCACUGAAGCAGAGCUAUUAAUGGAAAAGGAUUCUUUGAAUUGGAGCAAAGAAAGACUUUGGUCAGGAGCACAGAAAUGAGAUGAAGAAAUAGUUGAAUGGAAAUGGAAGAGAAACAGAGUGAAAGAGAGGGACAGUGGUGAAAACCCCAUGUUUGGCUGGCCUUACAGGAUUUAGUAGUAUAUUUGGGAGAGAUGAGGAAUGAAGGAAGGCAUUGUUAGCAGUAUUUAUAGACAAGAAUGAAGGAGAGGCAAUAAAGAAGUUUCCUUAGCUGGGUGCUGACGGACCAUAUCUCAAGUACAUAGACAAGAAUGAAGCAGAGGCAUUAAAGAAUGAGCGAGUGAGUGUUGGAAACGCGGCAAUAUUAAUUAAUUAAUGGAACACCUUAAUUAGUUAGAGAAUCAAAUUCUCACAUAAAGCGUUCAUUAAGCCUUUGAAUCGGAGCAAAGAAAGACAAAUUAAUUUGUUCAUGAGGACAUAAUUGCUAGUAUUAAAAACGCAACAGGAUGACAUUAUAUAUAACAAGGAAAUAAAAUAAAAUAAAAUAAAUAUUAAAUUUAUUUUUCUAUUAAUUUAAUGUUAAAGAAUAAAAUUAAAAAUAAAAUUCAACUAAAAAUAUAAAACAACUCAACAUAAAUUUAUCUUUCAAACCUAGAGGAGACUAAAUAAAAAAUAUUAAAAUAAAUUAUAAAAUUUAUUUUUUAUUAAAACAAAAUAAAAUCCCACUAAAUUGUUGUUUAUGGAAACCAAGGCAAAGUAAUAAUUAUGCCAAGCACUAAUGACUUUGCAUUUAUAUAUCGUUUUUUAACGAUCCAAAAAAGAUUAUUGAAUAUUGGAAACACGACAAUAUUAAUUAAUUCCCAAAAUCAACUUUUUGAGAGUAGAUAACACGUUACAUAUUUAAAUUUUAGAAAAAAAAGACACACAUUUCCUCUGCUUCAAAAUAAAUAAAAUAAAAAAUACAAACGAAUUAUUGAAUAAACGCAUUGCCGCGAGUCAAAAGAUUUUUUUUUUUUUAAAAUUUAUAAGUUUUUCUUUUAAAAACAAAGAAUGGUUGAGUUGAGUUGGCGUUGUGGAGGUAAUGAAGAACCCUAAUUCUCCAAUUAUAUGGUUACAUGUAAUGUAAAUAGUUUACCUUGAUAUGACAUACAUGGAUUAUUUAUUUGCCACUUAAAGCUGAAGGCUUUUGCAUUUAAAAUUAGGUUAAUGUAUAUGGUGAGUAAGCUAUUAAUUUAUUGUGGUUUCCAACUUCAAAAUUCGAGAAUCAAUUAUAUUAUGGGUUAGUGAUAAAAUUUUAAAGAAGGAGCAUUCUUGAUUUCUUUCAUGUUAAAAGCAUUAAUUACAUGUCCUGUUUUAAAAAAUAAAUCAUGAUUAAUUUGCUAUAGCACACUUGUUUUAACAAAAAAAAAAAAAAAGAUUACGUAACCAAUAAAUUCAUUCAGCGAAUUUUUCCACAAGUUAAUUAAUUAAUUAAUCCUUUUAGUAUUAAUUAACUAAAUAGUUAAUUAAUACUUUUAGUGAGUGAGAGGGGUUGCUAAUAUUUCUUAAACUAAUUAAUCCUCUUAGUAUUAAAAAUAACUAAAUAGUUAUUUGACAAAUCUUGAUUAGUAAUUUUUUUUUUAUUUUAAAAAAGAUACUUUUCUUGCUUAUCAUUCUUUCAAUUGAUAUACUUUGAAUUUUUUUUUAAAUAAAAUAUAAUUUAAACUAUAUAUGGGAUUAUGUAUACAUAAUUGAAAUAAAAAAAUUGAUAAACAAAGUCAUCUUCACCUUCUUAUUUCCAAUCCAUUUCACAGUUGUACAGCGAGAUUAAGUAACCAAUAAUUUCAUUCAGCGAAUAUUGCCACUGAAUAUUUCACUAACACAAGUGCUAAUAAAUAAGGUAGAUAAUCAUGAAUGCCGAACUUUACAUGAAAUAUUUAUAGCAUGAUAAAAAAAAAUAAAAAUCGUGGCUGCUUAAUUUGAAUGUUCAGAGACGUUUUUCCAAAUUGUAUUUAUCAAUGAAAUUUAUUCGAAGAUUGCUUGGCCCACUAAAAUAUAAUUUCCAUGAAAUUCAAGCCUCAAUAUAUAGGAAGAAACUUGUUAAUAAUUUACGAUCGUAGUUUACUCACAGCUUAAGCAAGUGGGCAUGCAGAGUUAAAGAGUCAUCCUCACCUUCUUAUGUCCACUUCAAUCCAGUCUCAGAAAGCAAUAUGCAAUGGUCCAGAAAAGUCUUUGGAUAUAUAGAUAUUGUCCAAUCUUCACGUGGUGCUCAAUAUGAAACUGAGGGUUGAAUUAUUCAAUUGCGAAUACUUCCUUAAUAUUUUUAAUAUUUUUGUUAAGAUCAAGUCUAUGUGAGUGAUGUGCAGCAAGUAUAUCUGUUAAUUAGAAUUUUCUUUGUAGCUUGCCUAGUGUUAAUUGUGCGUUAUUUACAUUAACACAUUAAAAUAAUUUAAAAAUAUAUUCAAAAUAUAAUAAUAUUAAUUUCUUAUAAAAAUUAUAUUUUUUAAAAUAAAAAUAAUAUAAAAAUAUUAUUUUGAUAUAUUUUCAAAUGAAAAAAAUACUUUGAAAAAUAAUCUCUACCACACUAGCAUGCUCUAAAAAUAAAAACACAAUAAUAUUAAUUGCCUAAAUGGAUUAAAUAGUGUUUUAGGGGUUCUUAAUUUUUCUUAAAUUAACUAAUCCUUUUAGUAUUAAAAGUAAUUAAAUAGUUAUUUGACCAAUUUUGAUCAUGCUCUAAAAAUAAAAACACGAUUUUGCACUUAUGGAUCAUACUUUUUGUGUGCGCUCGGUAAUGUAUAGAAGUUUAAUUAUUUUUUAAUUGUUUUAUUUAAAAAUAUAUCAAUAUGAUUUUAUUUAAAAAUUUAUUUUUAAUUUUGAAAAUCAGAAUAUUAAAAUCAUAAAAAAAACAUUAAAAAAUUAAUAUUGAUUUCCUAAAUGGAUUAAAUAGUGUUUUAGAGGUUGCUAAUAUUUUUUAAAUUAAUUAAUCUUUUUAGUAUUAAAAAUAACUAAAUAGUUAUUUGAAAAAUAUUGAUUAGUAGUAUUUUUUUUUUAAAUACUUUUCUUGCUUAUCAUUCCUUCAAUUGAUAUACUUUGAGUUUUCCUUUUUUCUAUUUUAAAUAAAAAAAUAAUUAAACUAUGGGAUUAUGUAUACGUAAUUGAAAUAAAAAAUUGAUAAGCAAAGUCAUCUUCACCUUUAUAUGUCCAAUCCAAUCCAAGCAAUGGAGCACUAAUGACUGUGCACAGAUAUAAUUUCUCAUGACCCGAAAGUCUUUCAGUGCGAUUCAUAAUGUUGUGCGAUAUAUUUUUUAAAUGUAUAUUUUAAUUGAAAAUAUAUUUAAUUUGUUUUAAUUUUAAUAUAAAUACAUCAAAAUCAUAACAAAAAUUAUAAAAUAUUUAAUUUAAUGCUUUUUUAAGCAAUAUGUUUUUAUAUAUAUAAAAAAAACAAAAGCUACCACAAUGUUUUAUUAAUGAGAAUAAGAAUAGAACCAUGACAAUAUUGAUUUUCUUAAAAUUAAUUAAUCCUUUUACUAUUAAAAAUCUUAUGGGGGAUAGAAAGUUGGGGGAAGAAAAAGGAUAAUUAUUUUCAGCUGAAAUCAGGUGUGCCCUUCUGUCCUUUUUCUUUGCUCUUUCGCUUCCUUUUAGGCUCCCGGCCUGUCAUGAAGUUGGUGUGGGAAUAAUUCCCUUUGCAUGGGACAGGCUGACUCAUCAGUCCUGAUGCAUGUAUAUAUAUAUAUAUAUAGGCCUCCUUUCUCUUGGGAAUAAUGAAUGAAGCUUGAGAAAGUUUUAAACCAAAACCUUUUUAUUACUAUGGAGAAUUUUGCCUAGGAUUGUUUUUCAUGCGAUUGUUCAUUCUAAAAUGCAAAACUAAGAGUCUGUCGCUGAAGUUUCCUAAAUAUGCAAUGGUGGUGUAGAACCGCUCAAACUAUUACUUUACAAGUUAGACUUGGAGGAAUUUCAGAGCAGCGUACCGGAAAUUAAAACAAUAUUUUGUGAAAUUUUAGGAAAACAGAGCAUCAACAAGGGAAAACCAAUCUUCAUCUGGUCUGUCCUACUAAAACUGACAAAGAUUGGAGGAGUUUCAAGGUUCUUGCCCUCGAGAUUACCAAGUAAGUGUGGGAUUGGAAAGAUCUUUCUUUUCCAGCAUCAACAAGGGAAAACCAAUCUUCGGAACCAGUGAGUGGUUCUGAAUAUGGAACUGCAGGUUGAAUUAUUGAUCAAUUGCAAAUAUUUCCAUACAAUCAGAUCCCUUUGUUGACUAUACAAGAGUGUUGGAAACACGGCAAAAUUAAUUUCCAGAAUUGUCAUUUUUCCAGCAAGUCUACGUACGCGCAAUUUGUGCUCUAAUUAUAACUCCUUUUGUGUCUCGUCUGAUGACAACUGUUCUUGGAGACUUCUACCCCUCUAUGCCUAGUUUUUCUUGGUUUCAUUGCAUCUUUGAAGUUUGGUUUUCCUUACAAUUUAUUUUAUCUUUCAUUAGAUAUCUCUAUACUGUAAGAAAUAUUUUUAAGUGGAUCAUAUGCCAUGUCAAGUUUUUAGAAUAAUAUAUAUAUAUUAUAAAAUUUAUAAAUGAUAAUUAAAUGGUUGGAGUUCAUUGCUCUCUAAUGAUGAACUAAGUUCAAUACAUAAUGGAUGAAAGGGAAAAAAAUCAUAUUAAAUAUUAAAUAUUACGUAAUGUCAUGUAACCUCCAUCAAAAUAUAGAAAACCUAAAGUUUGGUAUUGACGGUUCAAUCAUGACAUGGGCUAAAUCCACUCACUUGACAAGUGUUGAUCAUAAUACAAAUAAUAAUUAAUUAAGUCAUAAAUAUAAUUCAAAUUAUAGAGAUUAAAUGUAUAGUUUGCAAAACUACGGACUAGGUCGAACCAUGACUGAACCAUAAUGCUAUACGGAUUAAUUGAGUGAGAAUAAUACCUCUUUCAGGAUUUAAAAAUUAAAACAAAAAAAGCAAAAUCAUGCCGCCUAAGUAGUUGUUGCUAGACUAAAGGACACCAAGGCAAAUUAAUAAUUACGCCAAGCACUAAUGACUUUGCACGACUGAAAAAAGAGUACUGAGUGUUGGAAAUUAGCAUUGCUGUUAAUUAUAAUAUGAAUUAUAUAAAAACUAUAAUUUACGUUGUUAUCUAUUUUUUUGGGUCCUUAAAAAAAAACAAUGCAUAAAAUAAAAAAAAUUGUUGAAAAAAAUUAAAAUAAUAAAUCAGUAAGGAAAAAAUACGAAUGUUCAAAAAAUAGCAAUCACUAUUUACAGAAGGUAAGGUUCCUAUCAACUUUCCUUGUUGACUCAAAAUGGUGCAAAAUUAUGCCCCCGCUAGCACUAAUGACUUUGCACUUAUAUAUUGUUUUUCACGACCCAAAAAAGAGUACUGGGUGUUGGAAAUAUCGCAAUAUUAAUUAAUUUUUGAAAUUAUUUAAAUAAAGAAGAGAGAAAAAGACAAUUCAUAAAACUUAAAAAAAAUAUUUAAAAAAUCAAAAAUAUAUUAAUUUAAAAUAAAAAAAUUAAUUUUUUUAAAAAUACAAACAAGCUUUGAUUAAAUGAAAGGUAAAGUAAUAAUGACUUUGCACUUGUAUAUCAUUUUUCACGACCAAAAAAAGAGUAUUGAGCGUUGGAAACACGAUAAUAUUAAUUAAUUUCUGAAAUUAAUAAAGUUCAUGUGAGUGAUGUGCAGCAAGUCAAUGUGCUCAUUCGAAUUAACCUCCUUUGUAGCUUGUUUUGUGGUAACAAUAUUUUUUAUAGUAUCACAUUAAAAUAAUGAAAAACAAGUUAGAAACAUGACAAUAUUUAUUUUUUAUUAAAAAUAAAUUUUAAAAAAUAAAAAAAUCUUUUUUAAUUAUCCAAAAGUUAUCAACCUUCAUUGUGUGCUUGGUUGGUAAUGUGUAUCAACCCAAAAAGUCUUUCUCAGCAUCAACAAGGAAAACCAAUCUUCAUUUUCUCAGAAAGUAUGGAACUGAGGGUUGAGUUAUUCAUUUGCAGAUAUCUCCACGAAGGAGAGCUCCCUUAGUUGAUUACUAAACAAGAGUAUAAUAUGUAAAAACUUGAUAUCAAUAUAUUAAAAUGAUGUAAAAACAUGAUAAGAACACGACAAUAUUGAUUUCUUGUAAAAAAUAAAUUUUAUAAAAUAAAAAAAUAUAAAAUAUUAUUUUAAUUUAUUUUCAAACAAAAAAUACUUUGAAAAAUAAUCUCCACCAUACUAACAUACUUGAAGAAUAGAAACACGGCAAUAUUGAUUUCCUAAAUGAAUUAAAUAGUGUUUCAUGGGUUGCUAAUUUUUCUUAAAUUAACUAAUCCUUUUAGUAUUAAAAGUAAUUAAAUAGUUAUUUUAAUCAUGCUUAAUUCAAUAAUAAUUAUUAAAAAAAAACACUUUUCUUGCUUUUCAAUCUUUCAAUUUAUAUACUUUGAUUUUUCCUUUAUCUAUUUUAAAUAAAAAAAUAAUUUAACAAUGAGAUUAUGUAAGCAAAUAAUUAAAAAAAUAUGUAUACAAUAAAAAAUAAAAAAUAAAGAUAGUAAACCAUUUACCUGUAUUUAUAACCCUUGAACCUUGUUAUCUUAAUGGAGUUGAAGGACUGGAAAGACAUUUUUUUUAUAGCAUUAAUAAAAGAUAAAUAUCUCUUACAAAACAUUAAGUGAUGAACAAAUACCCCUUGCGCAAUAUUAAUGAGGGAUAAAUAUCCAUUGUAAAAUAUUAACGGGAAUGAAAAUAUGAUAGGUUUUUAAAAACUUUUAUAUACCUAUAAAUAUCAAAAGAUGAAUAUCCUUAACUCUAACAUUUUAUAUUAAAAAUCACAAGAAUAAACAAAUGUAACCUUGUAGUCUAGGUCCUAUAAUGAUCGCUAUACCCAAACCCACUUUGGCUUGGCAUGAUGCCAAGUCCAAGAGCGGUGGAUCUGGCAGCUCGCUAGAUCCAUAUCCGUUUGGGCUCUGCAAGUAGCUGAACUCAAGGGUGUGGGGUCUAGCAACUCGCCAAAUGCUUAAUAAGUAGCUAAACCCAAAAGUGUUGGGUCUGAUAGCUCGCCAUACUUACGUCCACUUGGGCGCAUCGAGUACCUGAAUUCAAGAAUAUUGGGUUUGGAAGCUCGCUAAACUCAUGUCCAUUUAGAUUUAGCGUGUAGCUAAACCUAAGGAUGUUUGGACUGACAGAUCCAUGUUAAUUUAUGUUCAACGCAUAGUUUAACUUAAUGAUGUUGGGUUUAACAGCUCGCCAAAUUCAUAUUUGUUUGGGUUUAGUGCAUAGCUAAACCAAGGAUGUUGGGUUUGGAAAAUCCCCAUAUUUAUUUUUGCUUGAGCUCACCGUAUAGCUGAGCCCAAGAAAAUUAGAUCUGGCAACUCUGCAUACCCAUGUCUGUUUGGUAGCUUGCCAGACUUAUGUCCACUUGGGCUCUGCUCUUAUUCACGCCGAAAGGUAUCUAGCUUGAUCAUGUCAUCUGGACUUGAUAUUCUUUGCUUGGGCACUCCGAGCUAGAAUUCCGGCAACAGCAAAAACAAUUCAUUGAUAAAUGAAACUUCCCAGGAAAUCGAAGUUUAUAAUUGGAGCUGAAAAAUCUGAGAAAUGCAAUUCGGAAUGUUUUCCACUCCCUUCAAGUUACUUGUAACACCACUUCUAGAGUUUCGACAACUCACUUCCUCAAUGGAAACACGGUGGUUUUUUUAUAUAAAAGAAACAUCUCGUCUAGGUAAUGAAAAGAUUAGCUGUUUAAAGUUAAGAGAACUUGUGAAGGAAAAAAUAAAACACAUACAUUACUCAAAAGUUGCACUAGAUUCCAUGGAGCACAAGAUCAGAAGAAAAAGAUCAUUGAUGGAUGAUAUGCGAAUCUUAGAAGCAGGAAUUUCCCUCAACUGAUUAAGCCCACCUCUGGAUUUCGAGAAAGAGCUCUUGAAAAAAUGGGAAUGCUAUUGACAUGUGUUCGAUCCCUUGGGAAACUUCAAUGGCCACAAACAAUGAAAGGAAAGUUCAGUAGAGUCAGGAACUUUAUAGAAAUCGGUUUCCUGUCCUCCUAGAUGCAAGCAAGAGUCCAAGUAUGGAACGAACUCCAGCCUAUCAGCUCCUGAAGAAUAGGAUUUUAAACUAGUGAUAAGCUUUGUAUAGAAUGAAACUCUAAUUAUUGUGUUUGAUUAGAACUCUGCAACGUUAUCUCUACUGUAUAUAUACACCUCUGUUUUCAAUGAAUAGAUAGAAGAGUUUCCUACGUUCCAUAUAUAUUCAGUUGUCUCCUCCACACUAGAAUGGCUGUGUUCUUGAAACACUAUCCUUCCCUUUCUUGGCAUUUGAUCCCCAACUCCUCUAUGAAUAGGUCUAACUAUGCGAGCUUGAUAAAGCUAGCUAUCUGCAAGUAGUCAAAGAAAAUUGCUAGUUUAACUGGAAAGAGUCGAAAGACAUGAUGACUAGGCUGGAUAGUAUAUUCAUUGCUUCAUUAUUUAUCUUCUAAUUUUUUACACUUCAUAGAGGACCUAUAACAUGAGACUACCUGAAUAAGCUAGCAGAAAACAUUGUAUCACACUGACUACAAACAAAACGCACCUGAAUUCACAGUCCAUACAAAUUCAAAACAGCUUUUAGGGAGCUUUGUUGGAUUCUUUAAUGUAAAGGAAACGAAGCAUUAUAGCUUCAUAAUGAUAAAGUGAAUCGCCUCCAUUUUUAUUUCUAUCCCCAGGAGAAGAAUCACCUCCAUUCAUAAUGCUAUUUUUAUUGCUUCAAUCGUUCUCAUCAUCAGAAGAAUUCCCCAACAUAGCAUUCAUAGCCUCCUCCUGCUGCUUCUCAAUCUCCAUGGUCCAUCAUCCACGAUGAAUUCUUUGCUUCUUCAAUUUGUAAUCGUUUUCCAUAUUCUCCAAACUAUAAAGUGAAUCACCUCCAUUUUUAUUUCUAUCACCUUGUGGAUGUGGCUGGAUUUUCCGCCGCUCGAUCCACUUAUCAAUCAUUUCCUCUACAAAAGCCUGUGGAUGAAGAAAAAUUCGCAUCCGUUUCCCAUGAAGCUCUGUUCUUAACCAUCAGAUCCACCUACAGCAAUGCCGAUUCCCAUGCAUCAUUCCAUUCACCCUCUUCUGUUUUGGUAGAGAAUGAUUGAAAAAAUGGGCCUACUCCCUUUAUUCUCCAUCUUUAUUUUAUUCCACUACAACGUGCCGCUGCUAUCAGUCGAAAGCAUCCUUUGGUCUCUUCUCUUGACUGCAAGCAAUAAUAGAUAAAGGCAUUUAGUAUUUCUUGGAUCUAUGACGCAAUCACUGCUGCAGGUUAACUCACUAAGCUGUUUGAAGGAAAGUGGCCCUUUUCAAUUGAUUUUGAAGUAAGGAAAGCAAUGUUCCAACUGAAAAUAAAUUAGGAGCACAGUGCACGCACCAAAGCUAGCAUCCUUGCAGAUGAUCCUGAGUUCCCUUAUAAUGCUUUAGACUUGUUAGUAUCUCCUGAGGGAUUAAUUAGUUAACUGGACUAAUCACAGAAACGCUAGAAUAAACAUUAUGUGGUCCAUGCCAGCCAUUGAAGAACUAAAAUGGAAUGUGGAUUGUUCAGCCUUUGGCAAACCUGGUAGAACUAGAAUUGGUGGGGUACUGAGGGAUCAUAAAGGUGUGGUGUUGUGUUCUUCAGUUAGAUUGAAGAGCAAUAUAUAGUUGUGAUACGGUAGCAAUCUGGAAGUGUAUUUAAAAAAGAGAAGUUGAUACUCUGUUAUUCAACGCUGCGGAUAAGGGAAAGGUCCACGAUGAAGAUCUUGUGUGGCUGGUGUUCUUCAGUUAGAUUGGAAAGGUCAACGAGCCAGUUCAAAGACCAGCGGUGGCACUGCUGCUGGGGUAAAGAGCAACUCAGGAAUCUGCCUAUUGUAUAUAGAUUUUUAGUUCCUUCAUUUUUUUUUUAUGGGUAGGUCCUUCAUUUUUUUAGUAUGAUGGAAAGAAAUAAUAAUUUUAUUAAUGAUAGAAGCCUAGUAAAACUAAAACACUUUCCCUAGCUACAUAUACAAUGCAAGAACCAUGAAGCACUCGAUUUUUCGGUCUACUACCGUGUGAUGCCGUCAUUUGUUUAGUGUGAUUUACAAAAAUAAUAAUUUUAUUAGUGAUGGUAACCUAGUUAAACUAAAACACUUUCCCUAGCUUAAUUAGCCAAAAAACAAGGCCAGUCAACAUGCGUGGAUGCCACAGUGACCAUCUUCCCUAGAAAUGUUUUGUCUCAUCACAAGCAGUGAUGGGCAUGUUGAUGGUUCAAGUGAUGGCAACAGGAAUGCAAUUGCUUUCCAAAAUCAUAUUGAAUAAUGGAACAUUUGUGCUUGCACUUAUGACCUAUAGGCAUAUAGUUGCUGCCGUUUGCAUGGCUCCCUUUGCUUUCUACUUUGAAAGGUAUGUCAUCUUGUCAUCAAUCAAUUUCGUCUCUGUCUUUGACACCAUUUUUCUCAGUUUCUUUUUAUUACUGCUGUGGUUGCAGAGGCAUGAUCAAAAGUAAGAUGAACUGGUCUGUUUUUUUCUGGCUUUUUGUUAACAAAAUACUGGUAGAUAAAACUAAAAUAAAAUAAACUGAAAAAAAUCAAUAUUGAUUUCCUAGACAAUUAAAUAGUGUUUUAGGCGUUGCUAAUAUUUCUUAAAUUAAAUAAUCCUUUUAGUAUUAAAAAUAAGAAUUGAGAAAUAAUAAAGUUUUAAGGAUAAAGGACUCAUCAUUAACAAUAAGAUAAGAUUCAUAUUAUGUUAAAGUAUUUCAACAAGCAAAUAUCUUUCUUAUUUUAAUUUAAACAUGGUUAAUUUUAAUAUUAAUAUGCAUGCUAGGUUUUUUGAUUUUAUAUCAAUUACAAGUUUAAAUAUAUACUUAAUACAAAUGCUAUUCUAUUAUUUUUUAUUUUUUGUGUUGAAAGCAAAACUACUAAUGAAAAAUUACGAUUGGUUGAAUUUAAUGAGAGAAAGACUUUGGUAUGCUGAUCACACAAAUGAGAAGAAGAGGAGGGAGGAGGAGUAAUUUGAGGAGAAUAUUGAAGAUGAAAUUGUUGAAUGGAAAUGGAAGAGAAACAAAUUGAGAGAGGCACAGUGAAAACCCCUUAGAAAUUGAGAGAGGCAAUAUUAAUUUAUGGAAAACAUUGAUAUACUGAUAAAUUGAGUGAAAACUGAGAGUUUUUCCAAUAUUAAAAAAAAAAAAGCCAAGCACUCACGAGUUUUUCCAAGCUUUCAACCCAAAUGCAGGGAACUGAGAAAAUCCACAUUUUUCUCCACCAGAAUAGAACCACUGAAAGAAAGCCCACAGGAAACUUAAUGAAAAGAACAUGAACCCAUGCACCUGUUUCCUGCAAGGUAAUGGUUUUCUUUUUUGAGUUGUUUCGUACUCAACUUCUAUCUAGUGCUAAAUCAGCAAGAAUCGGGAACAAGACUCAUGCUUACCUAGCCAUCUUGUCUCCUGUAGGAGUGUGGAACCCAUUGAUGAGAACUGCAGUUGCAGUUCCACUUGGAUAACUCAAUUUGUAAUCUAUUAUCAUGAUCUGGGGCACCAAAAAAUGCAUGAUCAGAGACCAAUUCAAGCUUCAUAAGUAACAUACAGAAGAAGUCGAGAUCACUGUCGGUUAAGAUUCAAAUGAAGUUGAAAACUUGCAAUCAUCAAUUCAUGAAGAUUUACCUCUAGAACACCAGCACUAAUAAAACAUAAACAAUCGAUUCAUCAAGAAAAUUGAAGAAAACAUAUUACCUUUCGCAGAGGAACUAGAGCAAGUAGCCCAACGAAGCUGCUUACAAAGAGGAAACCAGUCAUCCAACCAAUCCCAGGUUCCUUGGUGCUCCCAGGAGUAUUCCCCUCUGUAUCAACCCCAGCUUGCUCAUAUGUCUUCCUAUUCAAACCCAGUAGAUAAGAUCCAAAACCACCUGCAAUUCAAUAAACAAAUCACAAUUCGGAACACAUUAAAAAGAUUAGCAAAACUUGUUCAAAAUAUAAACAACACAUGAGAUCGAAGUCUCAAACCUCCAACAGCAAUGCUAUAACAAACAACACAUGAGAUCGAAAACAAAUAUUUAUUGCAUAAUAUUAAUAAAAAAUAAAUAUCCAUUAUAAAAUAUUAAUGGUGACAAAAAUAUAACAUAUCUAUUAUUUUACAAGUUAGACUUGAAGGAAUUUCAGAGCAGCGUACCGGAAAUUAAAGAAAAUAUUUAGUGAAAGUUUAGGAAUAACAUUACUGAACCAUUACCGGAAAACAGAGCCCUCAAGAUUGGAGUUUCAAGGUUCUUGCGUACUAAAAGAUUUUUGUUUUCCACCAUCAACAAGGGAAAACCAAUCUUCAUCUGCUCUGUCCUUUUCCUCCUUGACCUCCAAGUCUUCGCAACCAUACAAUUAUUCAAUAUGGAACUGCAGGUUGAAUUAUUCAAUUGCAAAUAUUUCCAUACAAUUAGGUCCCUUUGUUCACUAUGCAAGAAUGUUGGAAACACGGCAAUUUUAAUUUCCAAAAUUGACAUCUUUCCAGCAAGUCUACGUGCGUGCACUUUGUGCUCUAAUUAUAACUCCCUUUUGUGUCUCGUCUGAUGACAACUGUUUUUUUUUUUUUUUUUGUUGAAAUCGAGAAUAGAUAUAAUAUAAAAAAGAAAGAAUAAACAGUGCGAGCAGGGCUUUAGCUUUAGCUACAUAAAUUGUAGCCUAGGCAUCAACCUACAUACAAUAAAUGAAUACAAGAAAACCUAUAACCCUACUAUCAGUCCAAGCAAAAAACAAACCCACACUAAAUCAAAAAUUAAGCAGACCAUGCCGAAAUGCAUUCAUGAUUCCUGUAUAGAUCGGCACCAGUAUACCAAAAGGAAGAGUUGAGAUUCCUGAUCCAUCCUGCAGCAAAGUAAAACAAAAGCCAUAGGAUAUCUUUCCAUAUUGGCUUUUGAUCCUCAAAUAUCAAGUUGUUCCUAGUAUUCCAUAUAGUCCAGACAAUGUUAAACAUAAAGCCCCCCCAAACAGAUCUUUCAAACUUACAGUGAUUGCCCUGCAAAAGACCCAGCCAUUGACAUUGAAGGUCGUCAAGGCCAUAUGGCAUUACCCAACUCAAACCUCUUCAAUCUACAAUUUUGUUCCAUAGUUUCCAAACCACUUGGCAAUGCAAGAGGAUGUGGGAUACAGAUUCUGAAUGUUGCUCACAAAAAGGACACUUGUCUUCCUGAGGGCUUAGAACAUGCCUCUUCACCAGGAAGGCUCUUGUGCAAAGGCCUUCAUUUAAGGCUAGCCAUAAAGUCAUUUCUGUUUUUGGAGGGCAAAUGGAUUUCCAUACAUUUGUGACAUAAGUAGGAGAACCAACAUACCUGAUUCUUUCAAGGGAAAGCAUACAAGAAUUGACAGUAUAAUCUCCGUCUUUCCCCCACUCCCAAAUCAACUUGUCUUCUUUCAAUCGAUGAAUAGCUGCAAGAUUAAGAUCAGACAUUAAGCUUUGAACCAUCAGGGUCUUACUAGCUUUGAGGGGCCUUCUCCAUUUCAGAUUCCAAUACCAAGUAUCCUCUAACCAGUAUCCCAUCUGACUAACAAACCCUGAUUUGGAGGAGGAUAGGUGGAAGAGGGUCGGGUAAGAAUUAGCUAAGCAAAAGCCAGUCAACCAAGUAUCUAACCAAAAUUUAACAUGAUUACCAUUACCCAUUUUAAGUGUACAAGCAGCUCGAAUAAGAGAGCUAUCAAGAUCCAAGCUAGUAAUAGUAGAGCUGAUUCCUCGCCAAAUCCCUGAAAGUUUUUUCUUGAACGUGGGCAUCCCAUUUAUAAACUAAGGUCUGUAUUUUGCUUUAAUAAAAUCUGCCCAACUAGCUUUAUCAUUGCUUCCUAAUUUUCAAAUCCACUUGAAGAGGAGAGCUUUGUUCUUUGCUGAAAUAUUCCCAACGCCUAGACCACCCAUUUUCUUUUCUUUUGUCAUUGUAUCCCAAGCAAGCCGAUGAAUUUUCCUGUUAUCAACACUCCCACCCCACAAAAACCGAGCCUGCAUGGAUGUGAUCUUGCGUGCCACUGUCUUCUUGGAGACUUCUACCCCUCUAUGCCUGGUUUUUCUUGGUAUCAUUGCAUCUUUGAAGUUUGGUUUUCCUUACAAUUUACUUUAUCUUUCAUUAGAUUUCUCUACAUUGUAAGAAAUAUUUUUUAAGUGGAUCAUAUGCCAUGUCAUGUUUUCAAAAUAAUAUUAAUUGUGUAUAUAUUAUAAAAUUUAUAAAUGAUAAUUAAAUGCUUGGAGUCCAUUGCUCUCGAAUGAUGAACCAAGUACAAUACAUAAUGGAUGAAAGUGAAAAAAUCAGAUUAAUGAAAGGAUCCCUAUGCAAGCCAUAUUAAAUAUUACGUAAUGUCAUGUAACCUCCAUCAAAAUAUAGAAAAUUUAAAGUUUGGUAUUGACGGUUCAAUCAUAGUAUGGGCUAAAUCCACUCAUUUGACAUGUGUUGAUCAUAAUACAAAUAAUAAAAAAUAAUUAAGUCAUAAAUACAAUUAAAAUUAUAGAGAUUAAAUGUAUGGUUUGCAAAACUACGUACUAGGAUUAAGUUAUAAUUAACUCAAAUAAAAAAGAAAUUUAUGCAAAGGCUCGGGUUCCCUAGGUUUCAAGGACGAAGAAGUGCUUUUUAGGACCCGUUGAUAGAAAACUGUAUAAAAGUGAUUACAAUUACAGAGAGAAAAAAAAGAGUAAGAUUUUAGAAGAAUUAGUGAAUUAAAAGAGAAGGAGGAGGAGUGAGAAAUGGUGGAUUGGUAAUUUAGAAGAAUUAAAUGCCAAUAACAGUUUAAUCCUCGGAACUAGGAGACGAUAAUGCAUUAAUCGAGAUUAAGUUGUGUCUUUUUCCAUCAAAUAGCUAGUCCGCUUGGCAAGAACACAAGUAUUAAAAAGAUUAGCAAAACUUGUUCAAAAUAUAAACAACACACGAGCACAAGUUUGAACUAUGGUAUUCUCUUGUCGGGUAAAGGGAGUGGUUACAAUUCCAGCCUUUGAGAGGAGCUUAGUCCAUGUUCUGAGGAACAUAAAUGCAAGAAGACCAGUGGUGAGAUUCAGCUUCAUGACUAUAACACUGUAUAUGAUCCCAAUUGCUAUGCUAGCAACAAUUCCCCUAACUGUAAUCUGUUUAGUCCAUGGAGCAAUCCUCUUGAUAUCCAUGUUCAUAUUCAUCACAAUCUUCUCACCAAUACAAUCAACAAACCAAACUCAUCAUCUUGAAUCCAAUAGAAUGAUUUAUAGAAGCUAAACCACACAUCAAGAAAAUCUGAUAAAACUACAAAAAAUAAAAAAUUGAAUAAAACAAACGUCAUGAAUUAUAUUACCUUAUAAGCCUCCUCCUUUUUCUUGCUCCUCUUCUUCUUUCGACCACAGCUUCAAAAAGCACCCGAAGAAUCCAACUUCCUCAGUCAACUACUAACAAGUCUCCAUCAAUCAAUACAAGUAGAUGCAAGAGCAUAUAGCUUCCUUCAGAAAGACAACAAAACAUUCAAAUCAACACAUGGGCAAGGGCCAGCCUCUAAGUUGACUUAAGGAAACUCUCCAAGAAAAACAGACGGCAGCAGACGAACUUGAUUCGAGGCCUUCAAGAAAAGCCCAAAAACCAUAAAUAUUGCUUCUUCCAAAGCAAUAAUCAAGAGCAUUAAUUGUCAGGCCAAGAGAACAAAAACCCAAGCUUCUUAUAUGGCAACAAAACACAGCAAUUGUUUUUCUUAUUUAUACUAAAUUUAAGCACCACCAGCCCACCAACCAGCAUUUUCUAUGUACUGCAAAGAAGUACAAGGCAAGGCUGCGUUGUAGUACAACACUCAUCAGAACUCCAACGAUGGCUGCUAUACAUUUGAACAGAUGUCAGGUUCAUAAAUUUGAUCCUCGUCUCGUUGACUUAUUACCACCACUUUUCACGCUCUCUUCAUCCUUGUAGUACAGAUAUAGAGAGAAGAAAAGUGGGUAAACUUUUCUGAACAGUAGCUUUGCCACUAUUUUUAUGCUAGAACUGGUAAACUUCCAAAGGGUAUCAACUCUUUUUUUGUAACUCUGAUUCCGAAAUCAAAGGAGCCGAGCAGAUUCUCCCAUUUUCGUCCGAUAAGCCUGAUUCACGGGCUAUACAAAAUAGUGGCAAAGCUACUGUCCACUAGGCUUCGUCAUGUCAUGACAGAUGUGAUCAGUGUUAACCAGUCUGCAUUUAUUGCUGGGCGUCAGAUUCUAGACGGGUUCAUGAUAGCAAAUGAGGUUGUCCAUGGUGUGCGCAGCAAGAAGAAGCAUGGCCUCUUAUUGAAGGUAGAUUUCCAUAAAGCCUUUGACUCAAUUUUAUGGGAACAUAUUGACACAAGUAUGGGAUACAUGGGUUUUGGCUCACACUGGAGGAAGCUGAUAUUCGAAUGCUUAUCCACUUCAAAAUUAGUCAUCUUGAUAAACGGUUCUCCUAGUAGAGAAUUUAGUUUGGAGAGGGGUCUCAGGCAAGGGGACCCACUCUCUCCAUUCCUAUUUGACAUUGCAGUUGAGGGAUUGACAGUUUUAUUCAAUAGGGCAUCAGCUUCAGGUUACUUCAAAGGCUUACAGACUACCCCAGGUCAUUACUUAACUCAUUUGCAAUAUGCCGAUGACUCUCUGAUUUUCUUGCCAAAUGAUUUUCCCUCUCUUCUACAUGCCAAGAGGAUUCUACGUUGGUUUGAGAUCAUUUCGGACUGAAAGUUAACUUCUAUAAAAGCUCACUAAUAGGUAUCAACUUGGACAACGACUACACCUCUAGCCUGGCGAACUCAGUUUUCUGUCGUAGUGAUACUUUCCCGGUUAGGUACCUUGGACUACCUCUUGGAGCCAAUCCCAGCAGACUCUCUACUUGGAAACCAGUGUUGUCCACUAUCAGAGCAAAGCUACUCACAUGGAAAGGGAAUUUUUUGAGCAUGGCGGGAAGGUUAUGUCUAAUUAAAUCAGUCUUGAGCUCUCUUCCUCUGUUUUACAUGUCAGUUUUUGCUAUGCCAAAGGGUGUUACUAAAGCCAUCUCUUCUCUAACCCGGUCUUUCCUUUGGAAAGGAAGCUCAACUUCUCAUGGCCUUUUUAAGGUGGCUUGGCACAAGGUAAUAAAGGAUAAAUCUUCUGGUGGUCUCGGGCUGGGAUCCAUCCACAACAAAAAUCUGGCUUUGCUCUUUAAAUGGCUAUGGAAUCUAGACAAUGGAGUGGCAGGAGGCUGGCAAGAACACAUUCUUCUAAAAUACCGACCUCACUUUAUAAAUGGUAUCCCUGAGUUUGCAGGUUCUUUAUCUCCAACUUGGCAUGGCAUUGUUUCGGCAAUCUUCUCAACACAAAACAUAGCCAAUCUUUUACAUGCAAAUGUCGGGUUCAAGGUGGGUGACGGGAGGAACAUCCGGUUUUGGACUGACUCUUGGCUCGGCUCUGCAACCAUCUCCAGCUCUUAUUCCCCAGACUUUAUAACCUCUCCUUGCAGCAAAACACCAGCCUUGCAGAUAUAUACAAUUUGACAGAUGCAUCUUUAAACCUUCCUGGAGAAGAACCCUUCGGCCUCGUGAGAUCUGCCAAGGGAGAGCUUGAUCGCAGAGGUGCAGCGUGGUCUCCUUUUCUCAGAUGGUGCAGACUGCAAGUUAUGGAAAUUCCACAGCUCUGGCAUGUACUCAGCUCAAUCAGGUCGCCUCUUCUUUGAUAGUCUAUCGGCCACUGAAAAUAAUCACUCCCUACUCUGCUAUGGAAUGGUUAUGCCCCCCCAAAAGUGGAUGUGUUCAUUUGGCUUCUUCUUCAUGGAGGUUUGAGUACAAGAAGUUUUUUAGCUGAGAGGAGAAUCAUAAAUUAUGAGGAAUCUCACUGCCCAUUCUGCUGCAAGGAAACCGAGAUAAUUAAUCAUCUUUUCCAUUGGUGUCCUAUAACAUGGUCUCUUUGGGGUCGUUUCUUGAAAUGGUUCGGGUGCUCAGGUUGUCUGCACAAAGACCCAAAUCAAAAUCUACAGGAAUGGUCCGGAUUGAUUAAUGGAAAAUUUCAGCGACGUGCUAUUACCCUCCUCUGUAAAGGUCUGUAUUGGUCAAUUUGGAUAGCGCGCAACCGCCUAAUCUUCGAAUCCAAGGCUCCUGAUUGGGAUAUGAUUUUUGAUCUCACUUUUCACCGUUUGGCUUUCUGGUUGAAGUCCUCAGUUACAAAUUUCAGCUAUACAGGCUCAGAUCUUUUUAGAAAUCCUGAAUGUAUUAUGAACUGGACUAACUAAUUAAGUCCCUCAUCACUUUGGUCUUUUCUUUCUUCAUAUUUCCAUUGUAUUCUAUCUUUCGUUCAGCCCCACUUACUUGAUGGGGCUGCUUAUUUAAUAUAUAAUUAUCUCGUUUACUAUCAAAAAAAAAAAAAAAAAUGUGGGCAAUCGUAAGCAUAAAAUUGCUUAAAGUGAAAAGCAAGAAAUGGAACUGCUAACUGGGAACUGGCGACUUCACUUGAAAGCAAGCUUGUCAAUUCUAUUCUGGUAAGUGUUUUGUUUUUUUAAUUAAAAUAGAAUAUUUUAGUUUUGAAACGUUUGAGCGUACCGUUUCGGGGUUGUACUGUUCAUAUAUAUAUAUACUGUUCAUAUAUAUAUAUAUAUAUAUAUAUAUAUAUAUAUAUAUAUAUAUAUAUUCAUCAAACAUAAUUCAAAUUUAAGAUAAAUUAAUUAUAAAUUAUGCAAUACAAACACAAUACUAAACAAAUAUAAUUUCAAAAUUUAAAAUAUUUUUAAAUAGUAAAGAUUAAAUAGAUAUUUAACUUAAAGUACUUCAACUUAAAUAAAAUAUCAAAAUAUUAUGAAAGUAAAAUGUUUUAACAAAAAUAUUUUAAAUAUAAAGUUAGGUCAAUGUUAUCAAGUGGCUAAUAGAAUCUGAAGCAUCCCUUGUUUUACUUAAAUUCCUACAAGGUCUAAACAUGAAAAAAAAUAACAUGAAUAUAAAUCAUAUAUAUUAGUGAUAAAUCUAAUUUUAAAAAAUUAAUAUUAUUGUUAAUGAAAAUAGUAAUAAUAAUUUUCAACAUUAUUAUUAAUAUCAUUGCUAUUGAAAAUAGUAAUGAAAAAGAGCUUUUUAUAAUCGGGUGGUUUAAUUAAUGAAAUUGAGUAAAGUUCAAUUUGAUUCAAUGGCUUUUCAAGAGCGGAACGGAACAUGUGGAAUGAAAUUGGAACGUUUCGGGCGGAAUUUAACCGAAAAAUCCGGAACGGACCGAGAUUUAAAAUAAGAUGAAAUUUGUUCCGUUUUGUUCCGUUUUUUGAAUUGGUAUGGAAUGUUUCAGCCAUUUCAAACGGAACAGAACGGAAUUGACAACCUUGCUUGAAAGUGCCUUCCCUUUACAGUCAAAACAUGUGUAUGGCAAGUUAAAAGUGGAUCUUGAUCCCUCUACUCUUAUUUCCCUUAAUUUAUCACCUUCUAUCUUGAUAUCACUCUCUUUAUUAUAUUCUUUAUUUUAGUCAACUGUAGCCUAGCCGUGAGACACCUCAAUCCCAACCUAACUUGUUUGGAUUAGAACCCAAAGACUGCUUCGUUAAAGAUUGAUAUUUAUUUAAUCAACUAUUGUACUAUACUAGGCAAUGACGUCGUUUAAUACUAAAAAAGUAAACAUUUUCAAUAGGAUGUUCUCUUAUCCCACGCAUAAGAAAAAAAAAAAUGUCACGAGAGAUUAAUUGUUAAGGGGUUAUAUUGAAGAAAAAAUAGUAUGAGGAUCAAAUUAACAUAGAGUGUAUAGUGGAAGGAUAAAAAAGACAACAUUAGCAAGGCGUGUGGCCAAAACAUGUCAAAGUCAGUUAAGAAGAGGAAAAAGGCCAAUUUUGAGGCCAAUAAUAUAGAAAUCUAAAAAAAAAACGAUAGAUGAUUGAUGUAAGAAAGAGAUAUGAUACGGAUGGUGGGGUGGGCCUCCGAAAUGGUGGGGAUGGUAUUCAUUGAAUGCCGAUUUUAUCAACCUUUAGAUGGGAUAACUGUUUCUGACCAUUAAUUUCUAGUUUAUAAAAUGAUGUGAUAAGAAUAGUUAUGUUAAAAAAAAUUGUGUUUUGAAUUUUAAAAAAAAAUAAGUUUUUUAUGUUUUAAUAUAAAAAUAAAUUUUGAAAACUAAAAAAAUAUAUAAAAUAACUAUUAACAUAAUAAUAGACUGGCAAUGACAUAGUUUUUUAAAUAUGAUUCUUUUUAUGCUACUUGAAAUUUAUGCAUGUUCUCUAUUUUAAAAAAUAAAAAUAUUAUUUAAAUAUAUUUUUAAAAAUAAUUAUUAUUAUAAUAUCAAACAUGUAUUGAUAUUGAUCUUGCUAAAUUUAAGAUAAUAUUGUUUCAAGAUUGUUUUUAUAGAAAAAAGUUAAAAUGUUAUCAAUUUAACCGGAUUGAGUUUAAUAUCUAUAAGAAAUUAUUUUUAGUAAAUUAGAGUAGGUCAUAAAAAUUUAGUCUAUUGGUAGAUGGAAUAAACUACACAUGAAUUUAUAAUAUGAUUGAUUUACUUCAUGUAAUUUAAAUUAAAGAAAAAAAACAUACAAUUCCUCUGCCUCAAAAUAAAUGAAAACAAAAAUACAAACGAAUUAUUGAAUUUUCAAGUGAUUUUAUUGUUCCUAUUUUGAAACUUGAAAUGUAAUAAUUCCUCAUCUAAUUUUUUAAUCGGGUGCAAUAAUUUAUUAUUUAUCACUUAGUUUACAAAAUAAAAUAAAACAUUUAUUUCAAAGCGUUGAUUUAGUAAUUAAUCCAAUUGUUUUCUACUGUGAUCACUUUGAUUCUGGGAUUGAGAGUGAUAAAUUAUCAUCGAAUUAAUUUUGAAAAUUAUCAUCGAAUUUAUCUAAAAAGGGAAUUACUUAGCGUGAGUAUCUCUCUUAUCAAGAUUGAUAGUUACGUGCAUUAGGGGAACCCUUUCGUCAUAGCACAAUCGUUCUUUUGCACCAAAAAGUCAUCAAAAAAUUAUUCCAAAACAAACACCACAGACACCAACCCACCCUCCAAGAAGCAAACAAUUUUGCUGAAAGGAAUAUGCAAUAAAUAUCUCCGUUUAAAUCACCUUAAUUCAGUGGAAAAUUAUGUGCGCCUUAUUUGUACAUUAAGCUAUGUGCAUGCAUCAAAGUGUGGUUUGAUUUGAUUAACUGCUUGACAUAAAUAAAAUGAAAAGAGUUCUUUGGCAUUUUUUAGAUGAAAAAAAAAUUACAAUGUUAUGAUAUUUGUUUUUCUCUGACCCAAGUUUUGUGGAUAUGAAGCAGUGAAGAUGUUGAAGUUACAUCUAGACUGCAAAAUUCAACUCCUUGGUUAUUAAAACUUAAAACUUGGUAAAAAAAUCUAGAUUACGAGUUAAGCUCUAUUAAUUAAAAUAAUAUUAUUUUAUUUUUUAAAAAUUAAAUUAAAUUUUAACUAAAUCAACUAAAUCAUGAACUAAUCAGUUUAAUAGUUUAUUACCAAUAAAUUAUGCCAUUUUACAUUUACUUAUUUUUUUGGGAGUAAGAACUCAAUUUUGAAAGGGACGGUGAGUUUCAGUUUUGAACUUUAUUUUUACCUUUUAUUGGAACUCAAUAUUGAAAGGGACGGUUAGUUAUAGUUUUAAUUCUAGGUGGGCUCGAUUGGAUGAGUUAUAGCAAGGUUGUCAAAAACAUUUUUUUGACACGACACGGAACAUACAAUAUAAACUCGACUCGUAAACUCGAAUCGUAAAAUCGUAAAAUCAAAAGUAAAAUUUUUUAACUAAAAAUCGUAAAAUCGCAAGUAAAAUAUUUUAACUAAAAUCGUAAAAUCGCAAAAUAAACAUAUUGCCACUUGUAGUUUUUUUAGAAGCCAUGUAUCCUACAAUUCAAGAAUCAUUUGUAUAAGCCAACACAAAGAACAUAAUAUUUAGCAUGCAGUUAAGGCCUGGAAUUGAUGAGAUGAUUCUGUUCCCUGCAGCGAAAGUCUUAGCCUAAGGGGCAUUAAUCAAUAGAGAUCUGUGUAUAGGCAGCUCACUCUCAAUUCUCAAAGCAUACGUGGGUAAAAUACCUUUGCAAAAUAUAGCUACGCAAGAGUUCAAAACAACAACAAUCAAACUUAAUUUUAUCAUCAAAUUCAAAACAACUUAGUUAACUAACCGGGACCAUCUAUAAAACCGAAAAAAAUACACACUUCACUCACAGAUUCACAGAUUCACAGAUUGCAGAAUUACAUAAUCUGCAACACCGCAAGCAAGAUCAAACUGAAAAAAAUUCACACUUCACACUUCACAGCAUGCCCAUUGCCCAGAUCAAACCGAAAAAAAUUCCCCGGACAGAAGCAAACCACUUAAUUGUAGAAUACCCAGAAGGGCCAGAACAUAAACAUGGAUUCACAAUUUCACAGCAUACCCAAAUCACAGCAUACCCACCAUUAGACAGAAAAUAACAAAGCUUGGGAUGGGAUUGAGAAUCAAUGCUUACCUUCGUCUCGCCAAGAACAGAGAGGGGACGAUUGGCGAAGUCUGGGUCCUCUGGGACUCUAGACUCUGGAGUCAAGGAGGGUAUGAGUCUGUGAGACAAGGAGUCAGGUUUAUCGAAGAUCCAACUACACUCUCCUUAGCCAGCAGGUAGAAGAGCAACAGCAAGCAGCGGCAGCAUACUACGAGUCGUCUCUCUCAGGUGACUCAAAAAACAACAAACUAACAAUAAAGCAAGAGAGAAGCUUCGUGGAUUGGGAGUCGGAUCAUAGAUCAAUAGCAAAUCAACAGCAAGGAAACAGUAAUCGAAUUGGUUUGUAUCCAUCCUCUGCAGCGAUCGGGUUACAAAGGCAAUCGAGCGGGAGUAGUUUCGGAGAGAGUUCGUUAUCGGGAGAGUAAUCGAAUUGGUUUGUUUCAUUGCUAAAUGCUAAUUUCCAUUUAGUUCCCGUGACUGUGAGCCCAUGCGUGACAUUUCAUUUAACUCGUGAAAACGUAACGGUUUUAACGUUUUUUGCGAGUUGAUCCGAUUUUUUGCGAGUUUGACUCGGUUUUAUGCGAUUUUAAUGGUUUUCGAGUUUUGCUUCCGUUUCUACACGUUUUGCUGGUUUUAACUCGUAAAAUCGUACGAUUUUACGAGUUAAAACGCAUUUUUAACAACCAUGAGUUAUAGUUUUAAUUCUAGGUGGGCUCGAUUGGAUUUCUUUGUUAAAAAAAACAAUAACAUGAUCAAUAUCUUCAAAUCAACAUUAGUGAUGUUGAUAUAAUUAACAUUUUUUGUACAAUAGGAUGUUUUGAUAAGCUUUUGAUUGCACUAAAAAAAUUACAUCCAUGUUCAGAGUACUGAUAUAUUUUUUAAGAAAUUAAUUAUUUUGUCCAGAGGAUUCGAGCAUUAAAAUAUAAAAAUAUGGAAGAUACUUAAUAUUUACCAACAAAACUAAGCCUGUGAGAGUUCACUUCAUACGAAUAGAUAUCUAUGUUGACAAAUUAUUUGCCACUUGAAGUUGAAGAUCAUGGCGUUUAAAAUGAAAUUAACGCAUUAUAAGCUAAUUAUAGCUAAUUAUGUGGAUUCCAACUCAUAAUUAGUUUCAUGUUAGGAGCGUGAUUCCAUGUUUUACUUAAGAAACAUUGAUUUGCACUUAUAUGCCACUUGAAGCUGAAGGCCUUUGCAUUUAAAAUUAGGUUAAUGCAUGUGGUGAGUAAGCUAUUAAUUUAUUGUGGUUUCCAACUUCAAAAUUCGAGAAUCAAUUAUAUUGUGGGUUAGUGAUAAAAUUUAAAAGAAGGAGCAUUCUUGAUUUCUUUCAUGUUAAAAGCAUUAAUUACAUGCCCUGCUUUAAAAAAAAUCAUGAUUAAUUUGCUAUACCAUAUUUGUUUUAACAAAAAAAUAGAGUGAAUCAUGCAUUGCGUGAAUAAAUAUAACUAACAUUUCAAACCUAUGUAUUUCGUAUCAAUACGUUAAAUAAAGAGUAUAGAUUAUAUCUCAUUUAGUUUAUAACUAGAUAUGUUGUCGGUAACAAUUUUUUUAAUAUAAAAAAAAUGAUAGAUUAAAAAAAUCCAACAAUAACAACAAAUAAACUGACAACAAAAAAAACAUAUAUGAGCCUAUUUGGAUUACUACACAACCCAAUGUUAACCUAACUGAAUAAAAAAAGAAAGAAAAAGAGAGUCAAACUUUAAAAAAAAAAUAACAAAUAACAAAAAAUAUUGACUAAAAAAAAAGGAUAAAAAAAUCAAGCAAACCUAUGCUUGAAAUAUCGCAAUUAUUGCAAACAAAAAAAUUAGGACCAAACUUGCAGAUGAAAAAAUCAUAGGGUGUGAAAUUAAAAUUUUUUUGUAAUAUGAUAGAAUAUUUAUAGAUUUAAAAAUGGUGGGGGUUAAAUAUAAAAAAAAUUAUCGAGGGCUAACCCUAUAGAAUCAAACAAAAAAUAAAUUAAAAUAGAGAAUUAUACAAAAAACAAAUAUAAAAAAAAGUUUUAAAAGAGGAUAAAAAAUAAGACAACAUCAAUUUAGAAAAAGAAAAAAAAAGGUAAAUCUCUUAAACCUGAUUUAAUAUCUAAAAGUCGCAUCCUUUGAAAUGUUUUACCCAGAUUCAAUAAAAAAACAUAAUUUUCAACCAAUUUAAUUUUGAAAGAUGAAAUCGGUAGAAAAAUAUUAAUAAAAAAUCUCCAAAAAAAAAACAUUAAAUAUGAAGAAAAAUUUGAUAGAAAAAACCUAAGAAUGAUGCAAUUUAAUGAAAAAAAAAAAAACAUAAUCCAAAAUAAAAUAAAUAUCAAUUAAAAGAAUAAGAACCAAAUUAUAAAGAUUAAGCAAAAAUCAUAGGUGGUGAAAUUGUAAACAUAUAUAAAAACUAAGUAAACCCGAGCAACAUCCUCAAUAUGGUCAAAUCUUAAAAAGCUUGCAGCCUAUGAAACCCUGAAUCCGGAUUCUAUCAAUAAAUUUAUUACAAGCCGAUUUAAAAAUAUAAAUUUUAAAAACUUAUCAAAAAAAAAAAACAAAACAAAAAAAAGCUUGGAGCGAAACUGACUGUCAGCUCAAGUAAACAAAUCAAACAUACGGUUUAGGAUAUGAAAUUAAGAUGACUCUAUAAAUAGAAAAGCUAAAAAAACACUAACAACAAACAUAUUAAAUCAGGCUAAUCCUUCAGAUCUAGUACCUAGGUCAUGAGAUUGAAAUGACCACAUCAAAGGCAUACUUGAUAAAACAAAAAAGCAAGAUUCUUCAUCAAACAAAUAUUGAAUGAUGAAACUGAGAAAAAAAAUAAACCAAAAAAACAUUGUAAAAUAAAAACAAUAGCAAUAAAAAAAAUAGAACUAAAUUUUACAUAAAAAUUAAAUGAAAUUAAAUAUUUAGGAAAAAAUCAAAUCAAAUAUUUAGGGAUGAAAUUGUAAAAAACAAAUUCAUUAAGAAAAUGAUUUAAAAAAUAGCAAUUUAAAAAAUUAAGACCAAAUUUGACAUAAAAAUUAAAUAAAAUUAAAUACCUAGAGGUGGGAUUAGAAAAGGAUAAAUCAAUCAAGAAAAGAUUAAAAACAAAACAAAUAAAAAUUAAAUUAAUGAGUACCAAAUUUGAAAAAAAAAUCAAAAAAUCAAAUGACCACAGAUAAAAUCAAGAAUAAAAUUUAAUUAUAAAUAAUAAAUAUAAAUAAAACAAUUGCAAAUAAGAGAAAAGAGACUGAAUCAGAAGAAGAAAUAAAAUGAAGGGCUAGUAUGCAUUUUUUCCUAGUAUGAAUUUUUUCAUGGCCAGCACACAAUCUAAAAAAGAAAGAAAGAGAAGGAAAAUAAAAAAAAUAAAUAAAAGUAAUUUCAAGCUAAAUCACAUUGAACCACUAUAUAUGUGUCAUCCAGAGAGGAAAAGGACGCUGGAAUGAAUUAAAUGAUGUGGCAGAAUCAUGGUUACAACUAUAUGAGCCAACCGCACGCGCCGCCAAAAGGUGGUGGAGCAGCUAACUUGUGCGAGACAUGUGUCAAUUGCUGUUUUGUUUUAUAUUUUUUUUGUGAAAAAAAAUGAAAAUGUCUUUUGUACUAAAUAAUAUUAACAAACAAAUUAUGGUGAAACUACAACUAAGCCCCUGUAGCUAAAGUUAAAAAACUCAAAUUGUAAGGACAAUGUAGUAAUUUAAUUGUGCUUUUUAAAUGUGAAAAUACAAAAACGCUCUUAUGCAAAAAGCAUUGAAUAAUUUUAUUCAAGAGUUACAUUAAUAAAUUUUCUAUGAAUUUAAAAAUGCAAUUACUGAAAUAACCCUAUAUAAUCGUUAAAAGAUAUUUAUGUUAUGGUAAAAGGAUUGCCUUACCCUCGAAGUAAAGACAAGAUAAAAUGACCACGAAACAAAAUAAUAAUUAUACUAUUGUAAUAAAUAAUAAUUUAUAUCUCGGGACAUAAUAAUGUCAGUAAGGGGUUUAAUGUUUUGGAUAAUUCUAUAAAUAUUCAAGUAUACAUGUUAUGCUUGUAAAAAACAAUAGAGAUAGCGGGGCCAAAUGAUAUAUGUCUCCUUAUACUCUUUUGUUUUAAAAAUAUAUAAAUUCAUUCUAGAAUUAUUCUAAAAUUGAUUUAUUUUAUAUCUUCUUUUUAUCCUCCAAUGAAACAAGUUUUAAUCUCUUCUAAAAAACUAUAUAAAAAAUACUAACCAAACAUUACCUUGUUUCCUUGUGUAAAUAUUAAUAAAAAAAUGUUAAAUAAAUGAUAAAUGGUAUAAUAUUUGUUUUUCUUUGAGAUCAAGUUGUUCAAAGAAAAUAGAAAAGUGUGGGUUGAAUCCCAGGACCUCUUGGAAAGUCCAUUGUAUUUUUUUAUAUUAUUUAUAAUCUAAUUUCUAUGAAAUUCUAGAAAAUUUUAUAGCACCAUAAAUAAUAUACAUUUAAUUGGAUUUGGAUAAUAUAGCCUCUUUUAUUGAAAUUAAAUCUCUCCUUAUAUUAUUUCUUUUCAUAAAAGUAUUAUUAUUAUUAUUGCUAUUAUUAUUGUUAUUUUAUCAUAGGACUUUGAAAAAAACUUCAUUACACGUAGAAGUAGAAAGUAGAAAGAAGGUUUAAAGGAUAUUUGAAAGGGUGAUAGUGAUUACUUUUCAAAGUAAUUUUUAUUUUAAAAAAUAUUAAAAUAAUAUUUUUUUUUAUUUUUUAAAAAUUAUUUUUGACAUCAACAUAUGAAAAUAAUUUUAAAAAAUAAAAAAUAUAUUAAUUUGAAGCAAAAAAAAUUUAAAUUUUUUUAAAAACACUUUCGAAACACAAUGCUAAACAUGGUCUUAGCUUUGCCCUGUUUGUUUUUACGUUUCAAAAGUAUUUUUAAUUUUUUUUUAAUUUUUUUACUUUAAAUUAAUAUUUUUUUAAUAUUUUUAAAUCAUUUUAAUACAUUAAUAUCAAAAAUAAUUUUAAUAUAUUUUUUUAUAUAAAAUAUUUUAAUAAACAAUACCAAUUACACUCUUAAACAAACUAAUAAUGCUUUACCCCAAAAUCUAGCGUGUCCUUUCCCACCCCAACCCUAACCACCCAUUACAGCCCAAACCCUCACCACCACCACCACAUAAAUUUACAAAACCCCAACACGCCACCCAAAAAGAGCACCAAGCAAAGGAUAUUAUUGUACUUUAAACACAAAUACAAAAUCAAUGAGGGGUUUGUCAGAGACAGUUUUUGCAAGAACCAGUGCAGCUUUAAGCUGUUUGUUAUUGUUUACUGGGCUCUGGAAACCUUACCUGAAUCGCGAAGCAUCAAAGAAAGCCCUUGAACAUAAGAAGGAAAUCGAUAAGCGUUUGGGUCGUCCCUUUAUCCAAACAAACCCUUAUGAGUGGUGUGAGUGUGUCAAAGUUUCUGUUUUUGUUGAAAAGUUUGGAUUUGUUUUUUGCAUUUUUUGAUUUGGGUUUUUUUUAGGGGGGGCUUGGAGGAUCUUGUGAAUCUUGGUUAUAGGGGUCAUUAAUGGAAUAUACGGUUUGUUUUGGUUUAUUGUUUUUUGGAGGAUUUUGUGAAUUUUGGUUAUAUGGUCAGUUAAUGGAACGAAGAAUUUUGUGAAUUUGGAUUAUAAGGUUAGUUAAUGGCAUAUAGGUUUUGUUUUUAUUAUGUGUUAUUGUUAUAUGCUUAAAUUGUCAUUUACCUACAAAAGUUGGAAUUUUGUGUAUGAUAGUGGGGUUGAAGUUGAUAUUGCAAUGAGGGAUGUGGGUGGUUUAUUGUAGGGAAUAGGGAUUGGGGGAGGGGGGGUUAAGUGCUUUAGUGUAGAAAGGUGCUUUAAUUAGUGUUUAGGAUAUGGGGAGUGAUUGCUUGUGCCGAAUGAGAUGAGAUUAAGUUUCCAGUUUUGCUGGGAUGAAUGGAGUUGCUUUGUGGUAGUUGAAACUAAGUUCAUUUCAGAUUGAGUUAUUUGUUGAACUUUUGAACUGGUGGGUUGGAGUUUAGGCCUCUAGGUUGUUGAAAAGUUCAAAUUCUUGUGUGACAAUAGAGAUGGGGGCUAUGAGAUUAAGAUUGCGAUGAGGGAUCCUGGUGGUUUAGUGGGUUAUUGUAGGGAAUAGGGAUUGGGGGGGAUUUGAGUGUUUUAGUGAAGAUAGGUAAUUUAAUCAAUUUUUGGAACGUGGGGAGUGACUCCUUAUGCUGAAUAGGGUGUGUUUAAGUUUCCAGUUCUGUUGGGAUGAAUGAAGUUGUUUUGUGCUGGUAGAAACUAAGUUCAUUUCUGAUUGAGUUGUAUAUUAAGCUUUUGUACUGGAGCAUUGGAGUUUAGGCCUUUAGGUCGAUGUUAUAGCAUGCUUGAAUUGUCAUUUAUUUGCAAGAAGUUUGAAUUUUGUGUGAUAAUGGGAUGAGGACCAUGAGGUUAAGACUGCAAUGAGGGAUGUGUGUGGUUUGGUGGGUUAUUGUAGGGUAUCAGGGUGUUUUGGUGAAGAUAGGUGCUUCAAUCAGUUUUGAAGAUGUUGGGGAGUGAUUGCUCGUGCUGAAUGAGAUAUGAUUAAAUUUCAAGUUUUGUUGGAUGGAUGGAGUUAUUUUGGGUUGGUGGAAACUGGAGACCAAGUUUGUUUCUGAUAUAUUGGAACUUUUGCACUGCUGCGUUGACCUCUGGGUUGGUGCUAUAGUACUGUUGUUACAACCAUAGACAAUUAUAAUAUUUCAUGGUGUCUUCAAACGUGCCAUUUUUUUCCAUGCAGUCUAUACUUUGUUGGCUGCUACUAUGCAACAAAUAAUCAGAGUUUCUAAUGUCAACUGAAUACCUGAAAAUAGCCAUCAUAUGGAGUAGAUUUGAGUCUCUGCUAUAUCAUAAACUAAUGGCACAUGAUUAUUAGUUGCAUUUAUGUGAGUCCACCUUUUUUGAAAAUGAUACUACGUGAACACUGAUGGCUGCUAUGUUCAGUAAUAGCCUCCUGCGUGACUGACUGGGACAAGUUCAUAGUUGGAAGAAAUUAAAUUUGAAGGCUUGGUCUUAACCAAUAUGAUUGCUAUAACUGGAAAACAUAGAUAUUACUUCCUUCUAUGCCUGAUGAAUUUUGGAUCAAAACCCAACUUUUCAAUUAUGAAGCCUUCUGAUUGCAAUUGCUAUGUGGAAGAUUUAAACUGCUUUGUAACGAUCAAGCCUAUCCUCUCAACACUAUCCAAUAUGGCCAUGUUCUCAUAUUGAAAAUGUAAUUGAUUGGGAUAGAGGCUUUAUAAUUUAUGGUCGGUUUAAUGGUUUAUCAAUAUGCUGCAAUUGUGUAUUUUUAUUUUUGAAUCAAUUGGAGGAUUGGAAUCUAACAAGCAAGCUUUGUAUGAACUGGUGAUUCUUCCUCUGCGGAAACCUGAGCUCUUCUCACAUGGGAAACUUCUUGGUCCACAAAAGGGGGUAUUGUUAUAUGGACCUCCAGGCACCGGGAAGACCAUGCUUGCAAAAGCUAUUGUCAGAGAGUCUGGAGCUGUUUUUUUAAAUGUGAGGAUCUCUAAUCUGAAGAGCAAGUGGUUUGGCGAUGCACAAAAGCUCUGUGAGUAUAGAUUGCAUUUGAAUUGCCUCUCUUGUGCUGGAGCUUUUUCUUGCAUUUAGCAAAACAAUGAUGAUUUAAAAUUAUUGCCUUUUUAUUCUAAAACUUGCUGUCACCCACUGAUUAUGUUGAGUGAAAUUUAGUUUCACUCUGAUAAUGGAAACAAGGUAGUACUUUGUGAACAUUCAUAACUAAAAUUGAACAUUCCUAACUUGUCCUUGUUGAAGAUCUUUAUUAGCAGCAAGAUUUUGUUGGAUGCUCUAUUAACUUUUAAAAACAGGGCACUGUAGCUUGUUUAUCUAAUGGAUCUUACUCCGAUAAAUGAGGUUGUGAAAUGAUCAAAAUAUUGGUAUUUUUGUUGCUGUGUGGUAUUUCUAUAUAUCUUGUAUCAGGGAUAUAACAAGAGUAAUGAUUGGUUUAUAUUCUUGUAAUUGUGAAAGUGGUCAUUACUGUAUGUUGCAACUACAUCUUUGUGUUGAAACCAUCCCUUUUUACAUUCUUUUCUGCAUCUGAAUCCAUGCAAGUCUUGUUGGUUCUGUGCUGACUAGAAACAGAUUUAGAAGUAAUUAACUAAGUUUGAGUAGCUUUUUUGCUCCUAUCGAAGUUUUCAUAAUUUGAUUGCUGUUGAUUCUCUUCUAUGUUGCUGCUGCUGUUUUUAGCCUGGCUUAUAAACUUCAGCUUACUUUUAUAUUUAUUGAUGAGGUUGACAGUUUUCUGGGCAGUGUCGUACUACAGAUCAUGAGGCAUUAACCAAUAUGAAAACUGAGUUCAUUGCAUUAUGGGAUGAGUUUACUACAGAUCGUGAGUUCUUACUCUUGAAACAAGUGUUGCAUUUGUGCAGUGACUUGCUAGAAUGUCUUUUCAGGUCGAUUUCAGUGCAUGAAUCAAAAGCUUUUCUUUUGCUUUAGAUAUAAACUUGCCAAUCACCAAUGUUGACUGAUUUUGUUGAUGAUUUUAGCUCUUUGUAAGAGUUGUGGAACAUUGUUUGUAAAUGUUGAGAUGGGUUUAUUACUCUUUUUAAUAGUCAUUUAUGACUUACAAGUUAUCAGAAUUACUUUAUUUUGCUUGCAAAUAUUGCUGCUGUUAUGAGAACUGAAUCUGUUAGUCUAGUGUUGUUCUUUUAAGUUUAUAAGAAUUGUUUUAAUUUGCUUGCACAUUCGUAGGUUUGUAGAGCAUUUUGUUCAUAACACUUUAAGUCUCAAAAUACUCCUGGAAAGGGAGAUUGAUUUAAGUGAAUCAAGAAUAAGGAAAUGAUCAAGAAUAAGGAAAUGUUCAUAACUCAAUAAAACAUACAUGAUUUUAUAGUUAACACAAACUAUUGCUUGCUUGACCUAUUACAUACAUGGAAUAUUUUUCGUAGAAGUAACACUCAAUUAACCUUGAAUAAAAAAAAAGUGAAGGGAAUCCAAUACCAUGAAUCUGCCACUCUAGUGUUGUUUCAUUGUCAAAUCCACUUGAUAUGUUGUUUGCACUGCAAAAUUAGAAAGGUAAGACUGGUCAAAUAAAUUGUAGAGAAAAGAUAGCCUACAUAAACUAUGAACAUAAAACUUGAAAACUUACUUGAAAAUAUCAAUUGAAUUAUUUAGUUUCUUCUAGCACCAUGUUUGCAACAUUCUUCUUUGUUUUUUUGCUCUUGAGAUUCCAUUUAUCUUCAACCAUCCUAAAAAACCAUGAAGGUUUUUUUGUUCUAAACACAACGUAUCCCGUUGCAACUCCAAACACAAACCCACAUCCAUACCCCAUUGUCACAACUUUCCAUCCAAAUCCUUCUCCAAACAAUGUUGAAUCAUCUCCUUCAUCAAAGCUUGAUGGUGGCAAUGACGGUGCCUCAUCACCGUAGCAUUCUUUUAGUACUUGAAAUCCACAUAAACCUAAGUUUCCUUCAAAUGAGCUUGCAUUAAAGGUGUUGAAUUGCUCUCCACUUGGUAUGGGCCCCUCGAGUUGGUUAUGUGAAAGGUUUAGGAUUGCAAGAAAUGUUAGACCCCUCAGUUGCAUUGGAAUCCUUCCGGUAAGCAAAUUUGAAGUUAGGUCUAAUGAUUCCAAAUUGGUCAAAUUUUCUAAUGAUGAUUGGAUAUGACCUGUAAGGGAAUUAUGAGAGAGGUUGAGUUGUUGGAGUGCUUUUAGCUUUCCAAUCA
rnacentral:lncRNA from 1 species